UACAGAGGGUGCAAGCGUUGUUCGGAAUUAUUGGGCGUAAAGGGCGUGUAGGCGGUUUGCUAAGUCAUGUGUGAAAUCCCUCGGCUUAACCGAGGAACGACGCAUGAUACUGGCAGGCUUGAGUGUGGCAGAGGGGGGUGGAAUUCCACGUGUAGCAGUGAAAUGCGUAGAGAUGUGGAGGAACACCGAUGGCGAAGGCAGCCCCCUGGGCUAACACUGACGCUCAUGCACGAAAGCGUGGGGAGCAAACAGG
rnacentral:rRNA from 1 species